rnacentral:rRNA from 1 species
UGAGGAAUCUUGCGCAAUGGGGGAAACCCUGACGCAGCGACGCCGCGUGCGGGAAGAAGGCCUUCGGGUCGUAAACCGCUUUUCUGGGGGACGAGGAAGGACGGUACCCCAGGAAUAAGUCCCGGCUAACUACGUGCCAGCAGCCGCGGUAACACGUAGGGGGCGAGCGUUAUCCGGAAUUACUGGGCGUAAAGGGCGUCUAGGCGGCUUGUCAAGUAUGGCGUGAAAGAUCUCGGCUCAACCGAGGGAACGCGCUGUAAACUGGCAGGCUAGAGACUUGGAGGGUGCGUGGAAUUCCCGGUGGAGUGGUGGAAUGCGUUGAGAUCGGGAGGAACACCUGAAGCGAAGGCGGCGCACUGGCCAAGUUCUGACGCUGAAGCGCGACAGCGUGGGGAGCGAACGGGAUUAGAUACCCCGGUAGUCCACGCCGUAAACGAUGACGACUAGGUGUGUGGUGCGUUACGGGCACGUGCGUACCGCAGCCAACGCGAUAAGUCGUCCGCCUGGGGAGUACGGCCGCAACGG